rnacentral:rRNA from 1 species
CAUUACACAAAUAUGAAGGCGGGCUGGAACCUCUCGGGGUUACAGCCUUGCUGAAUUAUUCACCCUUGUCUUUUGCGUACUUCUUGUUUCCUUGGUGGGUUCGCCCACCACUAGGACAAACAUAAACCUUUUGUAAUUGCAAUCAGCGUCAGUAACAAAUUAAUAAUUACAACUUUCAACAACGGAUCUCUUGGUUCUGGCAUCGAUGAAGAACGCAGCGAAAUGCGAUAAGUAGUGUGAAUUGCAGAAUUCAGUGAAUCAUCGAAUCUUUGAACGCACAUUGCGCCCUUUGGUAUUCCAAAGGGCAUGCCUGUUCGAGCGUCAUUUGUACCCUCAAGCUUUGCUUGGUGUUGGGCGUCUUGUCUCUAGCUUUGCUGGAGACUCGCCUUAAAGUAAUUGGCAGCCGGCCUACUGGUUUCGGAGCGCAGCACAAGUCGCACUCUCUAUCAGCAAAGGUCUAGCAUCCAUUAAGCCUUUUUUUCAACUUUUGACCUCGGAUCAGGUAGGGAUACCCGCUGAACUUAAGCAUAUCAAUAAGCGGAGGAAAAGAAACCA